UACGUAGGGCGCAAGCGUUGUCCGGAAUUAUUGGGCGUAAAGAGCUCGUAGGCGGUUUGUCGCGUCUGCUGUGAAAACCUGAGGCUCAACCUCGGGCUUGCAGUGGGUACGGGCAGACUAGAGUGCGGUAGGGGUGACUGGAAUUCCUGGUGUAGCGGUGGAAUGCGCAGAUAUCAGGAGGAACACCGAUGGCGAAGGCAGGUCACUGGGCCGCAACUGACGCUGGAGGAGCGGAAAAGCAUGGGGAGCGAAACAGG
rnacentral:rRNA from 1 species